GUCCGAGUCGCCAAGUGGGAAGGUAUCAGUCUGCAAAACUGACAGCGUGGGUUCGAUUCCCACCUCGGACUCCA
rnacentral:tRNA from 1 species